rnacentral:rRNA from 1 species
GAUGAACGCUGGCGGCGUGCUUAACACAUGCAAGUCGAACGGACCUAAUCUUUCGGGAGAGGGUUAGUGGCAGACGGGUGCGUAACACGUGGGUGACCUGCCCUGGAGUGGGGAAUAAUCUUGCGAAAGUGAGACUAAUACCGCAUAAGCUCGGUGAUGCGAGUCAUUGAGUAAAGCCUUCGGGUGCUUCGGGAUGGGCCUGCGGCGGAUUAGGUAGUUGGUGGGUAAAGGCCUACCAAGCCGAUGAUCCGUAGGGGGCGUGAGAGCGUGGCCCCCCACACUGGCGACUGAGAUACGGCCGACACGUCCUACCGGGAGGGCUCG